rnacentral:rRNA from 1 species
CCUACGGGUGGCAGCAGUAGGGAAUCUUCCACAAUGGACGAAAGUCUGAUGGAGCAACGCCGCGUGUGGGAAGAAGGUUUUCGGAUUGUAAACCACUGUUCUUGGUGAAGAUAAUGACGGUAACCAAGGAGAAAGCUCCGGCUAACUACGUGCCAGCAGCCGCGGUAAUACGUAGGGAGCAAGCGUUGUCCGGAUUUACUGGGUGUAAAGGGUGCGUAGGCGGUCUUGCAAGUCAGACGUGAAAACCACAGGCUCAACCUGUGGACUGCGUUUGAAAGUGUGGGGUUUGAGUGAAGUAGAGGUAGGCGGAAUUCCCGGUGUAGCGGUGAAAUGCGUAGAGAUCGGGAGGAACACCAGUGGCGAAGGCGGCCUUCUGGGCUUUAACUGACGCUGAGGCACGAAAGCAUGGGUAGCAAACAGGAUUAGAUACCCGAGUAGUC